ACGGAAGGCAGCAGUGGGGAAUAUUGCACAAUGGGCGCAAGCCUGAUGCAGCGAUGCCGCGUGAGGGAAGAAGGUUUUCGGAUUGUAAACCUCUGUCAACAGGGACGAAAAUGACGGUACCUGUGAAGGAAGCUCCGGCUAAAUACGUGCCAGCAGCCGCGGUAAUACGUAUGGUGCAAGCGUUAUCCGGAUUUACUGGGUGUAAAGGGAGCGUAGGCGGUUUUACAAGUCUGAUGUGAAAGCCCGGGGCUCAACUCCGGUAUUGCAUUGGAAACUGUAGAACUAGAGUGUCGGAGGGGUAAGUGGAAUUCCUAGUGUAGCGGUGAAAUGCGUAGAUAUUAGGAGGAACACCAGUGGCGAAGGCGGCUUACUGGACGAUUACUGACGCUGAGGCUCGAAAGCGUGGGGAGCAAACAGGAUUAGAUACCCUGGUA
rnacentral:rRNA from 1 species